UACGGAGGGUGCGAGCGUUGUCCGGAAUCAUUGGGCGUAAAGGGCGCGUAGGUGGCCCGGUCAGUUCGUGGUGAAAGCGCGGGGCUCAACUCCGCGUCGGCCAUGAAUACUGCUGGGCUUGAGCACUGUAGAGGCAGGCGGAAUUCCGGGUGUAGCGGUGAAAUGCGUAGAUAUCUGGAGGAACACCGGGUGGCGAAGGCGGCCGACUGGUCCGGUU
rnacentral:rRNA from 1 species